CCUACGGGAGGCAGCAGUAGGGAAUUUUCGGCAAUGGGGGAAACCCUGACCGAGCAACGCCGCGUGAGCGAAGAAGGCCUUUCGGGUCGUAAAGCUCUGUUGUAAAGGAAGAACGGCGCAUACAGGAAAUGGUAUGCGAGUGACGGUACUUUACCAGAAAGCCACGGCUAACUACGUGCC
rnacentral:rRNA from 1 species